GGGGCUGUAGCUCAGUGGUAGAGUGCUUGUCUAGCAUGUGCAAGAUCCUGGGUUCAAGUCCCAGAACCUCUA
rnacentral:tRNA from 1 species